ACUCUACUGGCACAGAUUGCACCUAGCCCACCAUCACCCCAUGUCAUAAUGAGGCCCCAGGGAAAGACUUUGUCACAGACCCUAACUAUGCACAGCCUUUAAGGGUGGAUUAUUUAGUUCCCUUGUGGACUUCAGGGUACAUACAAAUUUUCUGUUUCAGGUCUCCUAAUCACAUGGUGAAGAGACUGACUUCUGAAUAUCUGCUCUUCUGGAACUAGGAAUGCAUACGAAAUAUUUCCUUCAGGACAACUCAGCCCUUAAUUUUCCUUCUCAGGUGGAAAGCAAGGGGAAUAAAUGCUAGUGGCAUUUUCUGGGUAGGAGAGGAGAGGCUGGCUUUCUCAUCUGAAGCCACCAUGAAGCUAAGAAUAAGAGAGAUGGGAGCAGCAGAAGCAUCCACACUGGCUCCCCAGUUUGGUCAAUAAGGGAUCUCUGAAGAUCUGUUGGUCUCCCUUUGUAUUUGUUCUUCCUUGCAUUUUGAUGAAGGAGAGCCCAACUUGACUUGCCACCUUGUGCCAGCCACCAACCAUAUAGGAGAUACAGUCUGAGUCUGAUUUUGCAAACAGUCAAACCUAAUAGGGAGCAAAUUCCCGAGGGAGUUGCUCCCUGAAGUAACGCAGUGGAUCCAAGGUAACCAAGAGGGAGAGACAGCAACUCAUCCAUGAACUAUGCCAUAUUUGGAGAAGAAAAAAAAAAACAAAAAACAACCUUUGCAAGGCAAAUGCAGCGGAUUUGUAAAAAGCAACUGAUUUGAGGUUGAGUGCAUUCUCUCUAGGGACCGAGGUAGAACUGGGGAGAAUGGGUCCCCAGGCGUGUGUGCAGAUGGUAUGCUCAUCUGAUUUACAAAUGACAAGGAGCUGGGACUGAUGGCUAACGCAAUAGAGGAUUGAGUCAAUAUCCAAAAAGACCUCAGCAGAUCAGAAUGCAGGACAGACUUGAAUUCAAUGAAAUUUAAGCUCCAAGUCUUCUGGGGUUUGUUGCUAGCCAGGUAUGCAAAACAAAGACAGGAAUUCAAACCAAAGGUUUGAAGUAGAUGGCAAUGACUCCAUUGGCUCCAGCUAAGUGCUUUUUUAAUAAUUUUUUUUUUGGUUUUUCAUUUCCCCCUUUCAUUUGCAAGGGAGACAGAAAGAAUCUUAGAGUGAUGGAAAAUUGAGUUGCCCAACACUCACAUAGUGAAAUUUCUUGUCAGAACUCUUUCCCUCAACCUUCAGUGGAUUUAAGAGACUUAUAAGGGUUUUCCAAAGCAGAGAUUAUGUGGCCCUUCUAACCCUCAGUCUGACGGAGUCUUGGAGCAGGGAAGUUUUUCAUGUUAAACAAGGACAAAUUUUUGAAAGAUAGGUUAAGAGACUUUGAGUUUGACACCGUUAGCUGGUGUCCUAGGUUCCAAAAGGAGAUUAGGUCCUGAGUUCAAAGAGUCUCCUUUGGGAGAAGAAAAGCCUCCCACAGCUAUCUCUGGGUGAAAUAUCUUUCAAUUGAAAAGAACAAUUACUUAAACAUUUUAUUUAAUCUAAUAUGGGAUAUACAAAGGACCAAUCUCCCCAAACUCACUUCUGAACUCUUAUGGGGAAGAGCUGGUACCUCAGUUGAAGACUCACUGUAUCAAAAAUCUGAAGGCAAGAAGAAGCUCCUAGCCAAAUGCCUGGAACAGACACCUCUAGAGAUACUCAUGAAAAGAAGUACCAAUACAUGUCACAUGAGGACAGUUGAGUAGUAGAUCCAACAUCAACCACCCAUUGUCAUUACUAGAAGCCCUCAAUGCUCCUGAGACAUCAGAGUGGCUCUCCUGUGCAUUUUAUUUAUAUAUAUCCUCAACUCACUCAAAAUGCUUUGGCCAAGUGUUCCAUCUUCCAGAGCUUGGGAAAUUUCCAAUUUAUGAUGUGUGCAUUGGUGAGAAAGUAUUUUUCAGAUUUAUGGGGGAAAUAAUAUAUUACUUUUUCUCUUAGUGCUAUUUCAUUAAAUGCUUUUUCUCCGUCCACGAGUAUUGCUAGUUGUAUCUGCUGGGCUUUGGCUGGGAGCUUCUUCCUAUUUUCAGCUUUUUCUUACAGUGAGCCUUCAAAUGAUCUGCUAUCUCUUCUCCAAGAGUUUAAAAGUGAGUUUGGGGAGAUGGGUCCUUUAUAUAUCCUGCAUUAACUAAAAAAACCUUUAGCUAGUUUUUACUGACAAUAUAAAAAUGGACAUAUCAGUGGGGGCAUAUGAAGUAUGAUGUUAGAAAGGAUAUAAACAUAUAGAGCUCCUGGAGCCAAGGACCACUUUUUCUGUGAGAACUGGCAUUUCACAGAUACAGUAUUAGUUCAUAUUUCCUAGUUAGAGACUCCCCCCCCCCCCUUUUUUGAUAGCUUAAAUGGGACUUCCUACAGGAAAUCCUUCUAUCCUGUACUUGGCAUUCAUAUUGACUUUCCUGGCUUGCAGUAUGGUAGUACAGAGAGAAUGAUAGAUUUAAAAUGAGUUAUAAUCUCAGCUCAGCCAAUAGUUUAUGGAUGUCUUUGGACAAAUCUCUUCUCCAUUCUGUAACUCAGUUUCUCCAAGUAGAUGAGUUCCUUCUAAGGUUCCUUCCAGCUCUAAAAUUCAUGAUUUUAUAUUUCCUGCAUAAAUGAAUUACUUUCCAAAUUUUGUCCUCUCCUUUCUCCCCAAAGUACUGAAGACACAAAACAAACAAUUUAUAGCCACUCCAUUGGACAGCCUAGAGAUUAGCAAGGGAAAUGAUUCUUCUCCUUUAUUUUCCUGGCACAGAGGAAAUGAUUUUCUACACAGGACCAGCCCACCUGUCCUUUACUCUUCUCACGUGUAGCCCAGAUGUGGUAACAUGACCUUUCCUUCCUACAAGGUGCCCUUCCAUCAGCCUUUCUGGUCUUGCACAAGUGGGGCAGGCUCUUGGCGGUCCCUUCAUCCUAUCCCCUCAUUGGAUCAUUUACCAUGUCCAGAGAGGUCAUGUUACUUGCUCCAGAUCCCACAGGGAACACAGAGAUGGAGCCACGAUUUGAACCGAGGUCCUCUGACAGCAAAACCAGAUCCCUUUCUACUCCUCUGUACUGUAGAACACCAUCAGGAAGCUAGAUUGGAUUUUUGCUAGAGGGAGCAGGUUGGUAUUGCUGGAAGACAAUUCUCUUCCUACUUAAAUCUCCGCCAAGUUCAAGACAGCCACAUCUGGCAGACGGGGGACAUGGGAUGCCCAACUGGCCAGAAGACCUCACUUGGCAUUGGGUAGCUCAAAAUGAACGUUUGCCGUUCUGUGUCAGUCACUCUACGAAGCUCUGGGGAUUCAAAGAUGAAAAUAGCCAUGCCCCAAGAUGAGAGAUGGAAUGGUGAGUCUGGAUUCCAAGGCUGGCGGAGAGAAGGAAUUUGCACGAAGGCUACAAAGGCAUGUUGGAUUCAAUUCAUGAGGAAUCAAUAUGUUACCCUGGAUGCAUUUGGCAGCUUCUGACUUGGGGGUUCUGAUCAAAAGAGUCAUGUGAUCAGUCCUCUGCCUCAGCAAAAGGAUUUUUGCAGCUAUGUGGAAAAUGAGCAGGAGAGGGGAAUAAGGAGGACACUGUAGAAAUGGACAGAUUCAAGAGAGCUGGGAUGGACGUCAAAUUGACAAGACUUGACAAUUUCCCUAGGUGGCAAAAUGGAGAGAAAAGGAGACAGACAUGGAAACAGGGAAACCUGAAUUUGAUUUCUCAGACUCUACUAACUGUAUGACCCUGGAUAAGUCACUUAAUUUCUAUCUGUCUCUAUUUCCAAAUCUGUAAAAUAGGGACAAGAAGAGCACCAACUUCCUAAGGUUAUCAUAAAGGUAUUAUCAGAUAAUGUUUGUAAAGUGCUUCUCAAACCUUAAUUGCUUUACAAAUUAUAGCUAUUAACAUAAUAUUUAUGCCAAUGUAAUAUAAGACUCAGACUCUGCCCUCAUGGAAUCUAGUGUGACUGAUGAGAAUGGAUGUUAGGCCUUUAAUAGAUAAUUGUGUUCAUCAAAGCCACAUUAUUGCUAUGAACACUCCUUUCACAUGUGGCUCUUCUCUGAGUUGUAUCCAUAUUUCCCCACAGAUCUUCCAAAGAGUGGCUGCCUGACAAUCUUUGAAGUCAAAGACUCUUUUAUUUUUCUUUGUGUCUUCAAUGGCUAUCCCAGUGUCUUCCAUAGAAUAGGUGCAUAAUAAAAGCCUGUUAACUUCACUGACUGACCCUAGACCCUGGACCUUUGUGCCUCAGUUUCUUUCUCUGUAAAGGGGUAAGAGUAAUGGCUUAUAAGUUUCCUUUUAUUUCCCAAUUUGUGAUCUCAUGAUCCCAUGAACUUGUCAGAUCUACCCCCUAUUGUCAGUCACAGGAAUGUUGAUUUUUAGUUUCAUGUCCUGGGAGUUGGUCCGUCCCUCAUUGUUAAGGGACUCAGGAACCAUUCAUCCCUGGCAUCAGCUUCCCACCAACUUAUCAACUUUAGACACUUGAUGAAUUUCAUGAGCAGAAAAAAGACUUUUUAUCUCUCCAGUUCAGAUUUUUUUUAAUUCAGAAAUUAAUAAUCCAAGAUUCCUUUACAUAUUUCAUGGAAAAAUAUAUUAUCCAUUUAAUGGCCUUGAUAUUAAUAAUCAGGAAAUCAAAUCUGAAAGUCCAAUGAUUUAGCUUAUAAAAUGAGGGAUGGUCCUAUGGGACAUGAGCAAUCACCCAAUGAAUGAAAAUAGGAAAAACUUUGUGGCCACUUGACCUUGGGACAGUCUCAAUGAGAAGAAUAUUUUUGAGGAUGUGCUUUGAGAUGAGAAGGAUAGGAAAGGGGAGCCUAUAGGUACUCGGAGUCUAGGAGCUUGGAAACGUGUGUGUGUGUGUGUGUGUGUGUGUGUGUGUGUGUGUGUGUGUGUGUUG